rnacentral:rRNA from 1 species
CCUGAUCAGCACGCCGCGUGGAUGAUGAAGUUCUUCGGGAUGUAAGUUCUUUUGAGAAAAAAAAAGAUUGGGUUUGUCGAAGUAAAGGAAAUACUACUAUGAUUCAUGGCUGACUUCGUUUUUACUUGUUGAUCUGUUUAAUUUUUCUCUUUUUUGUCUUUCC